GACGAACGCUGGUGGCGUGCCUAAUACAUGCAAGUCGAACGCUUCUUUUCCACCGGAGCUUGCUCCACCGGAAAAAGAGGAGUGGCGAACGGGUGAGUAACACGUGGGUAACCUGCCCAUCAGAAGGGGAUAACACUUGGAAACAGGUGCUAAUACCGUAUAACAAUCGAAACCGCAUGGUUUUGAUUUGAAAGGCGCUUUCGGGUGUCGCUGAUGGAUGGACCCGCGGUGCAUUAGCUAGUUGGUGAGGUAACGGCUCACCAAGGCCACGAUGCAUAGCCGACCUGAGAGGGUGAUCGGCCACAUUGGGACUGAGACACGGCCCAAACUCCUACGGGAGGCAGCAGUAGGGAAUCUUCGGCAAUGGACGAAAGUCUGACCGAGCAACGCCGCGUGAGUGAAGAAGGUUUUCGGAUCGUAAAACUCUGUUGUUAGAGAAGAACAAGGAUGAGAGUAACUGUUCAUCCCUUGACGGUAUCUAACCAGAAAGCCACGGCUAACUACGUGCCAGCAGCCGCGGUAAUACGUAGGUGGCAAGCGUUGUCCGGAUUUAUUGGGCGUAAAGCGAGCGCAGGCGGUUUCUUAAGUCUGAUGUGAAAGCCCCCGGCUCAACCGGGGAGGGUCAUUGGAAACUGGGAGACUUGAGUGCAGAAGAGGAGAGUGGAAUUCCAUGUGUAGCGGUGAAAUGCGUAGAUAUAUGGAGGAACACCAGUGGCGAAGGCGGCUCUCUGGUC
rnacentral:rRNA from 1 species